UGGUGUUCCUCUGUCCAACAAACCACAGUGU
rnacentral:piRNA from 1 species